UAAUGCUUUAGCUAUAGGUUUUUAGGUGCUCUGUUGAGAGUUAAGUAAUGCUUUAGUGAAACGGAGUGUGAACUUAUUAGCCAGUCCUACUCAGUUAUCAAAGCUCGAAUAAAAAAGCAGGAAUGGUGCUGCUGGCUCAACGAACAAGCCGCAGAGUGACUGCUGCACUGUAUAGUGUGUGAAAGGAAACCUGAGGACUUUGCAGACUUCUGGAAACAAGCCCCAUGGCUGCAGAAUGUGGAAACUGAGAGUGACAAGACCACAUCUUUGAGGUUAUCUAUAGAAGUUGCAGAGGGGCAUAGCUAAAUGGAUUCCUUUUCCGGGCAAAGAACACAAAUGUAAAUUUCUGAAACAAGCUCAGGUGUUCCACACAUAUCAAGCUCAUUAACAUUUUGCUACAUCUCUGUAUGUAUGACCAUCUACAUAUGCCUACUUCCACCGAAAAUUAAAAUAUUUAUUCCUAAGAAAUUGUUUCACUUUCAGUCAGUGAGCCUUAAUAGUGUUUGUAAUGCAACAGUCUGCAAUUUUGAUAAUACAUAUUUGGUCUUUUCUUAUAUAUGUUGAUGUGAUACGGUGUUCUUAUGCCUCCUUAUAUGUGAAUUCCAAAUAUUCACAAAUGUAUAUUUACAGUGUGACUUGCACAGUUCACUCGUUUCCUUUAUUAUAGAGAAAAUUUGCCUGAUAUGUACUGCUAAACAUGCUAAAUUGUGACCUCUUCUAACAUUAUGUAAUGAUGAUUUUAUAUCCAGAA